rnacentral:rRNA from 1 species
UACGGAGGGUGCAAGCGUUAUCCGGAUUCACUGGGUUUACAGGGCGCGUAGGUGGAUUGGAAAGUCAGUGGCGAAAUCUCCGGGCUUAACCCGGAAACUGCCAUUGAUACUAUCAAUCUUGAAUACCGUGGAGGUCAGCGGAAUAUGUCAUGUAGCGGUGAAAUGCAGAGAUAUGACAUAGAACACCAAUUGCGAAGGCAGCUGGCUACACGAAUAUUGACACUGAGGCACGAGAGCGUGGGGAUCAAACAGG